ACGGCAGCACAGGGGAGCUUGCUCUCUGGGUGGCGGGUGGCGGACGGGUGGGGAAUACAUCGGAAUCUACUCUGUCGUGGGGGAUAACGUAGGGAAACUUACGCUAAUACCGCAUACGACCUACGGGUGAAAGCAGGGGACCUUCGGGCCUUGCGCGAUUGAAUGGGCCGAUGUCGGAUUAGCUAGUUGGCGGGGUAAAGGCCCACCAAGGCGACGAUCCGUAGCUGGUCUGGGAGGAUGAUCAGCCACACUGGAACUGGGACACGGUCCAGACUCCUACGGGGGGCAGCAGUGGGGAAUAUUGGACAAUGGGCGCAAGCCUGAUCCAGCCAUACCGCGUGGGUGAAGAAGGCCUUCGGGUUGUAAAGCCCUUUUGUUGGGAAAGAAAUCCAGCUGGCUAAUACCCGGUUGGGAUGACGGUACCCAAAGAAUAAGCACCGGCUAACUUCGUGCCAGCAGCCGCGGUAAUACGAAGGGUGCAAGCGUUACUCGGAAUUACUGGGCGUAAAGCGUGCGUAGGUGGUCGUUUAAGUCCGUUGUGAAAGCCCUGGGCUCAACCUGGGAACUGCAGUGGAUACUGGGCGACUAGGGUGUGGUAGGGGGUAGCGGAAUUCCUGGUGUAGCAGUGAAAUGCGUAGGGAUCAGGGGGAACAUCCAUGGCGAAGGCAGCUACCUGGACCAACACUGACACUGGGGCACGAAAGCGUGGGGGGCAAACAGGAUUAGAUACCCUGGUAGUCCACGCCCUAAACGAUGCGAACUGGAUGUUGGGUGCAAUUUGGCACGCAGUAUCGAAGCUAACGCGUUAAGUUCGCCGCCUGGGGGGUACGGUCGCAAGACUGAAACUCAAAGGAAUUGACGGGGGCCCGCACAAGCGGUGGGGUAUGUGGUUUAAUUCGAUGCAACGCGAAGAACCUUACCUGGCCUUGACAUGUCGGGAACUUUCCAGGGAUGGAUGGGUGCCUUCGGGAACUCGAACACAGGUGCUGCAUGGCUGUCGUCAGCUCGUGUCGUGGGAUGUUGGGUUAAGUCCCGCAACGGGCGCAACCCUUGUCCUUAGUUGCCAGCACGUAAUGGUGGGAACUCUAAGGGGACCGCCGGUGACAAACCGGAGGAAAGUGGGGGAUGACGUCAAGUCAUCAUGGCCCUUACGGCCAGGGCUACACACGUACUACAAUGGUAGGGACAGGGGGCUGCAAGCCGGCGACGGUAAGCCAAUCCCAGAAACCCUAUCUCAGUCCGGAUUGGGGUCUGCAACUCGACUCCAUGAAGUCGGAAUCGCUAGUAAUCGCAGAUCAGCAUUGCUGCGGUGAAUACGUUCCCGGGCCUUGUACACACCGCCCGUCACACCAUGGGGGUUUGUUGCACCAGAAGCAGGUAGCUUAACCUCGGAGGGCGCUGCC
rnacentral:rRNA from 1 species